rnacentral:rRNA from 1 species
CAGUCGCCGCGGGAAUACGAAGGUCCCGAGCGUUGUUCGGAAUCACUGGGCGUAAAGGGAGCGCAGGCGGUUAUGUAAGACAGUUGUGAAAUCCCCGGGCUCAACCUGGGAACUGCAUCUGUGACUGCAUAGCUAGAGUACGGUAGAGGGGGAUGGAAUUCCGCGUGUAGCAGUGAAAUGCGUAGAUAUGCGGAGGAACACCGAUGGCGAAGACAAUCCCCUGGACCUGUACUGACGCUCAUGCACGAAAGCGUGGGGAGCAAACAGGAUUAGAUACCCCUGUAGUCCCUGUCUCUUAUAC